CUGCGUUUCGCGGGAACAAGAACAUCUGGCAUGUCGACCCGGCGCCAAAGCACCGGGGUCGACGAGCUGCGUGUUCGAGUUAUCUAAGAAACAAGGGUUAUUUUAUAUUAGUGGCAUUGACGCUUGGGUUUGGAUACUUCGUAACAAAAUAAAUGGUUACUAGAAGACAAACCAGUAGUUCUCCUUACUAAUUGUGACAUAUUUUCAACACUGC